UGCUCUCAAUAAAAAUCACAACAAAAAUCUUGCGUUGACUGGUAAGCCGCCGUAGGAUGAUUUUGCCGUCGUCGUUCACAGGUGGUCCCCGUUACAUGAAAUAGUGUUAUUAUGACGCUAUAGGCAUUGCGUGUAAGUUUGGAAAGCCUAAUCUUUUUAUUACGUUUACGUGUAAUCCUAGGUGGCCGGAGAUCUCACAGAACAUAGUGGCGGCGGAGGGUCACGGCAAGCGACAGACCGGACCUGGUGACCAGUGUGCUUGACGCGAAAUUCGAGUAGCUGCUGUGCCACAUAACGGUGAACAAUAUAUUUGGUAAUGUCGAUGCAUAUGUUUAUACUGUCGAGUUUCAGAUACGAGGACUGCCGGACGCCCACAUACUGAUAAUUCUGAGUGAGGGUAGCAAGUUGCUAACCGCCGACGACGUCGACAAUGUGUGUGUGCCUUCUUGCCAGACUCGGUGACUGAUUGGCACCUAUUCGAUUCUGUGACGAGUAACAUUUAUUCAAUUGGGUCUAUCAUAUCAACAGAGAGUGGUAUUCAUGGAAGCGCAUACUGAGAACAUUGCUUGGAAUGCAAAUUUAAAAUUGAUAGUCAGACGUUUCAAAACUAAUUAUCAAAAUUAAACCAGGACAUUUCCUGUAACUAGGCAGAUAACCUUACUCCAAUUUAUAGUUUUAUUACUUAUUCAAUGGAUAGAAAUCAACGGAUUCAUGGUUUCAAGAUGCCCAAAAUUUACAGGGAAAUGCGUCGAACAUUUUCACUUCUGAUUAUAAGCACAACAUUAAAAACAGCAUCGGUUAAAGAAAUAGACUAUAGUUAAUGCAUCACACUUUAGAUAUAAAUCAAUAGAUUUAAUAAAUAUAGCCUUUUGCUCACCUCUCUCAAUGUUUUGAAAAUUGAUUUUGUUGAAAACUAGUGUUGUUUAAAAUAUCAGUAUUUCCUUAAGGGGACACCACCCGGUGAUUUUCUGUCUUUGUUUAACACACGCACGACAGUAUUUUAGACGUGUUUUUUGCCAAACAUUACAAUUGAUCUAUUAAAGCGAUAAGAAUUCUGAAAACAGAUUUGAAUUUGCGUCAAGUCUACUUAAAAUGGACAUUCCCAACUUUAUUAUAAUCAUUCAUGAAAAUCCCCAAAUCCAUGAAAACUUCAUAUUAAAAAAGAGUAUUUAAACAAUUUUGUUUUUCAAUUUUUGGAGAAGCUAAAAUCAAAAAAUCAAAGUUAUGGGAAAGUCGAUUUCAAGUAGACUUGUCGAAGAAUUCAUAUCUGUUUUCAGAAUUCUUAACGCUUUAUUAGAUCAAUUGAUAUGUCUGGCAAAGAAUCCGUCUAAAAUCAUAUGUCGCGCGUGUGUUAGACAAAAACAGAAAAUCACAGUGUGGAAUCCCCUUAACCCGUCAGUGGUUGCGAUGUGAGCGCGGCGCUCACCUCAUUAGUAUUUUGAGUUCCACUUAUUUAUUUAUUACUUGAUUCAUCUGAUACUAUUUAUACCUUCAAUCCACACAUGUUUAAAUAUAUUUUUACAACUAUAAUAAUUUUAUAAAUAAUUCUUGAUUAGAUAUCGACUUGCAAUGUUGUUAAUAUCCAUAAAUUGAGCGUUGCACUUACCCAAUAGGUCAACCCAAAAACUCAAAACCUAUAUUUAAGGAGCACACAACAUUCAUAUAGGUACUUUAUAAUAAUCAGCAAAAUAUUCCAAACCACUAGGGCGAAGAUAAAUGAUUAUGAUUAUAUUAUUAUAUAAUUAUGUAUAAAAAAUUAUAAAU
rnacentral:lncRNA from 1 species